rnacentral:rRNA from 1 species
UACAGAGGUGGCAAGCGUUGUUCGGAAUUACUGGGCGUAAAGGGCGCGUAGGCGGUCUUUUAAGUCUUGUGUGAAAUCCCUCGGCUCAACUGAGGAACUGCACGGGAUACUGGAAGACUUGAGUUCGGGAGAGGGAAGCGGAAUUCCGGGUGUAGCGGUGAAAUGCGUAGAUAUCCGGAGGAAUACCGGUGGCGAAGGCGGCAUCCUGGACCGACAUUGACGCUGAGGAGCGAAAGCUAGGGGAGCAAACGGG